rnacentral:rRNA from 1 species
UUCAAAUUUCUAAGAGCAAACGGUGGAUGCCUUGGCAUCUGGAGCCGAANAAGGACGUAGUAAUCUGCGAUAAGCCUCGGGGAGCUGAUAAACGAGCUUUGAUCCGAGG